UCUUACCCUCGGUCUUGCGAGUAGGGGUGGCAAUCCAGCUCGCUGUUCGUGAGUCAGCUCGUAUUCGGCUCGAAAUGAACUCAAGAUCGAAUCACUCGUUUAGUAAACGAGCCGAACACGAGUUGAAUUUUUCGGCUCGUUUAAUAAACGAGUCGAACACGAGUUGGGGUCAGCUCGCUCAUGUUUGACUCGAUAACAGCUCGAAUACAUAUAUUUUAUAUUUAUAUAAUUUAUUUAAUUUAUUUUUUUAUAUGUAAAUAAAUAAUUAUAUAUAAUAUAUAUUUUUAUUAUUUAAUUUUUAGCAAAAUAAAAAUAUAAAUGCGAGAUUAAUUAUAAAAAGACUCAUUUAUAUGUAAAGUUUUAACUAUUAGAUCAAAGUUUAAUGAAUAAGAUUUUAUAAAUUUAUUUUUCAUAUAUAUUCAAUCUAAUUAUUUUUAACUUAUUGUUUGUUAGCCAGCUCGUGAGCCAGCUCGUGUUCGGCUCGUUUAUUAACGAGUUGAACACGAGUUGAAUUUUUUUAACGAGUCAGCUCGUGUUUGGCUUGUUUACACCCCUACUUGAGAGAAUAUUUUGAAGAA
rnacentral:lncRNA from 1 species